AGAGUUUGAUUCUGGCUCAGAACGAACGCUGCAGCGUGGAUUAGGCAUGCAAGUCGAACGGGACCCCUUGGGUUCAAUCUUUCGGGAGAGAAUCCUUGGGUGAGAGUGGCGGAAGGGUGAGUAUCGCGUGGGUAAUCUGCCUCUAAGUUGGGGACAACCUCCCGAAAGGGGGGCUAAUACCGAAUGUGAUGGUCUGACACAAGUCAGACUUAUUAAAGGUGGGGAUCUUUCGGGACCUGCCGCUUGGAGAGGAGCCCGCGUCCCAUCAGCUUGUUGGUGAGGUAAUGGCUCACCAAGGCUUACGGGUAGCUGGUCUGAGAGGAUGGUCAGCCACACUGGGACUGAGACACUGCCCAGACUCCUACGGGAGGCUGCAGUCGAGGAUCAUGGUCAAUGCGCGAAAGCGUGAACUUGCGACGCUGCGUGGAGGAUGACGGCCUUCGGGUUGUAAACUCCUGUCAUUUGGGACAAACCGUCGCGCGGUUAAUACCCGCGCGGUUUGAUGUUACCAAAAGAGGAAGCCACGGCUAACUCUGUGCCAGCAGCCGCGGUAAUACAGAGGUGGCGAGCGUUGUUCGGAUUUACUGGGCGUAAAGGGUGCGUAGGCGGUUCUGUGUGUCGGAUGUGAAAGCCCGCCGCUCAACGGCGGAACUGCAUUCGAAACUGCAGGACUAGAGUGCAGGAGGGGAGAGCGGAAUUCUAGGUGUAGCGGUGAAAUGCGUUGAUAUCUAGAAGAACACCGGUGGCGAAGGCGGCUCUCUGGAAUGUUACUGACGCUGAGGCACGAAAGCUGGGGGAGCAAACAGGUUUAGAUACCCUGGUAGUCCCAGCUGUAAACGGUGUGCACUUGGUGUGGGGAGAUUAGACCCUCUCCGUGCCGGAGCUAACGCAUUAAGUGCACCGCCUGGGGAGUACGGCCGCAAGGCUAAAACUCAAAGAAAUUGACGGGGGCCCGCACAAGCGGAGGAGCAUGUGGCUCAAUUCGAUGCAACGCGAAGAACCUUACCAGGGCUUGACAUGGCGACCCUUCGGGGGUGGAAGUGAAAGUUUCCUUUACGAUCACAGGUGCUGCAUGGCUGUCGGCAGUUCGUGCCGUGAGGUGUUGGGUUAAGUCCCGCAACGAACGCAACCCUUGUGUCUAGUUGCCACCGCAGGUGAUGAGCCUGCGAGCACUCUAGACAGACUGCCCGUACAAGCGGGAGGAAGGUGGGGACGACGUCAAGUCAGUAUGGCCCUUACGCCCUGGGCUGCACACGUGCUACAAUGGCCAGUACAAUGGGACGCAAUACCGCGAGGUGGAGCAAAUCCACAAAGCUGGCCUCAGUUCGGAUUGGAGUCUGCAACUCGACUCCAUGAAGUUGGAUUCGCUAGUAACGGCGCAUCAGCUACGGCGCCGUGAAUACGUUCCCGGGCCUUGUACACACCGCCCGUCACAUCAUGAAAGCCGUCUGAACCCGAAGUCGCUGAGCUAACCCGCAAGGGAUGCGGGCGCCGAAGGUCUGGGUGGUGAUUGGGAUGAAGUCGAAACAAGGUA
rnacentral:rRNA from 1 species